GACGAACGCUGGCGGCAGGCUUAACACAUGCAAGUCGAACGCUGUAGCAAUACAGAGUGGCAGACGGGUGAGUAACGCGUGGGAACGUGCCUUUCGGUUCGGAAUAACUCAGGGAAACUUGAGCUAAUACCGGAUACGCCCUUCGGGGGAAAGAUUUAUUGCCGAAAGAUCGGCCCGCGUCCGAUUAGCUAGUUGGUGAGGUAACGGCUCACCAAGGCGACGAUCGGUAGCUGGUCUGAGAGGAUGAUCAGCCAAACUGGGACUGAGACACGGCCCAGACUCCUACGGGAGGCAGCAGUGGGGAAUAUUGGACAAUGGGCGCAAGCCUGAUCCAGCCAUGCCACGUGAGUGAUGAAGGCCCUAGGGUUGUAAAGCUCUUUCGCCAGGGACGAUAAUGACGGUACCUGGAUAAGAAGCCCCGGCUAACUUCGUGCCAGCAGCCGCAGUAA
rnacentral:rRNA from 1 species